rnacentral:rRNA from 1 species
AUGGGACUAGCAACAUGGAAGGGAAGAUUAAAGGGUUAAACAUUGAUCAUGAAAGAGUCACCCUCUGCUUAUUACAUUCAUUGCUUUGCACCUCAACUUGAAUUGGUUCUUAUUGUCGUGGCAAAGGGAAAUGUACCAUGUGGGUGGUUUUUCUAUCAUGUUUCUUACAUGCUCAAUAUUAUUGGAGUUUCUAAGCGUCAUGACAUGCUUUGAGAUGUCAGAGCUCAAAAGGUUUUGGAAGUACUUGAAAUGUGUGAAAGUGAAAGUGGAAGUGGGUUAAAUCAAGAGAUGUGAUUAGCUAGACCCCGUGAUACUCCAUGAAGUUCUCAUUUUAGAACCAUUUUGCACAUUAUUAGCAUGUACCCCACAAUUCUUGGAGUACUUGAUACCAUUGGAAAAGAUCCUUCACAAAGGGGUGAGUGGACAACAAUACGUGGAGUGACUUUUGCCUUGGAGUCAUUUGACUUUGUUUUCAAUCUUCACUUACUUUUUAUUCUUGGCUACACCAAUGAGUUGUCUCAAUCAUUGCAAAAGAGAGACAAAGAUAUUGUUAAUGCAAUGACACUUGUUAGUUUGGCAAAUAGUAGAAUGAGACAUAUGAGGUCUCAUGGAUGGGAAUAAUUUCUUACAAAGGUGACAUUGUUUUGCAACAAACAUGGCACUAAAGUUCCUCUACCCGAGAAUAUUUAUGUUUGUCAAAGAAGAUCGUGUCGAUGUUAUGAAGUGCAACAAAUAGAUCGUUAUAGGAGAGAAGUAUAUCUUGGUAUCUUUUAUCAAAUCAUUCAAGAGCUGGACAAUUGGUUUGAUGAGGUUAAUAUGUAUUUGCUUAUUUGCAUGUCUGCUUUGAAUCAUGUCAAUUCUUUGCUUCUUAUGAUGCACUCAAGGUAA